rnacentral:rRNA from 1 species
AUGGCUUCGUUCCAGCAAAAACAACGCUGCAGUCCGGCACCAUCGAUUUUGCCGUUGCAGCAAAAUGCUUCACCGACUCCAGCAAUUGGAUCCGCUGGUUCCAGCAAACAAGCACAACACAGGUCCCAGCACCCUUCGACACCGAUUCCAGCAAAACAGACAGGUGGUUCCAGCAAAAAAACACCGAGAGCAGGAUGUCACCGGUUUGAAACAAAAAAAAACAUGGUUCCAGCAGAAAAGCGAUAUGCCAGCAGAAAAGCGAUAUGGUUCCAGCAAAAACUAAAAAUUGUUUCUAGUAAACAAUGUUUUGAUCCAGCAAAAACUAAACAUGGUUUCAACAAAUUUUUGAUACGGUUCCAGAAAAAUUGA